rnacentral:rRNA from 1 species
UACGGGGGGGGCAAGCGUUGUUCGGAAUUACUGGGCGUAAAGGGCUCGUAGGCGGCCAACUAAGUCAGACGUGAAAUCCCUCGGCUUAACCGGGGAACUGCGUCUGAUACUGGAUGGCUUGAGUUCGGGAGAGGGAUGCGGAAUUCCAGGUGUAGCGGUGAAAUGCGUAGAUAUCUGGAGGAACACCGGUGGCGAAGGCGGCAGCCUGGACCGACACUGACGCUGAGGAGCGAAAGCCAGGGGAGCAAACGGG